rnacentral:misc_RNA from 1 species
GAUGAAGAACGUAGCGAAAUGCGAUAAGUAAUGUGAAUUGCAGAAUUCAGUGAAUCAUCGAAUCUUUGAACGCACAUUGCGCCCCCCAGUAUUCUGGCGGGCAUGCCUGUUCGAGCGUCAUUUCAACCAUCAAGCCCUACUUGUGUUGGGGUCCUGCGGCUGCCCGCAGGCCCUGAAAACCAGUGGCGGGCUCGCUAGUCACACCGAGCGCAGUAGCACAUCUCGCUCAGGGCGUGCGGCGGGCUCCAGCCGUUAAAGCACCCACCUUUCGCAAGGUUGACCUCGGAUCAGGUAGGAAUACCCGCUGAACUUAAGCAUAUCAAUAAGCGGAGGA